rnacentral:rRNA from 1 species
CCGGUUGAUCCUGCCGGAGGCUACUGCUAUUGGGAUUCGACUAAGCCAUGCGAGUCAAGGUGUCUUCGGACGCCGGCAUACGGCUCAGUAACACGUAGGUAACCUACCCUCAGGACUGAGAUAACCCCGGGAAACUGGGGCUAAUAUUAGAUAGAUAAAAGAUACUGGAAUGUUCUUUUAUCCAAAGCUUUUGCGCCUGAGGAUGGGCCUGCGUCCGAUUAGGUUGUUGGUGGGGUAAUGGCCCACCAAGCCUACGAUCGGUACGGGCAGUGGGAGCUGAAGCCCGGAGUUGGGGACUGAGACAAGGCCCCAGGCCCUACGGGGCGCAGCAGGCGCGAAACCUCUGCAAUGCGGGAAACCGUGACAGGGGGAUCCCAAGUGCUCAUGCAUUGCAUGGGCUGUUCUUUGGUCUAAGUAACCAGAGGAGUAAGAGCUGGGCAAGACCGGUGCCAGCCGCCGCGGUAAUACCGGCAGCUCAAGUGGUAGCCGCGAUUAUUGGGCCUAAAACGUUCGUAGCCGGAUAAGUAAGUCUUUGGUUAAAUCCUGCGACUUAACCGUGGGAAAUCUAGAGAUACUGCUUGUCUUGAGACCGGGAGAGGUUGGAGGUACUCCUAGGGUAGGGGUGAAAUCCUGUAAUCCUAGGGGGACCACCUGUGGCGAAGGCGUCCAACUGGAACGGGUCUGACGGUGAGGGACGAAACCUAGGGGAGCGAGCCGGAUUAGAUACCCGGGUAGUCCUAGGCGUAAAUGAUGCGAGUUAAGUGUGGGGGCAUCUACGAGAUGGCCCUGUGCUGCAGGGUAGCCGUUAAACUCGCUGCCUGGGGAGUACGGUCGCAAGGCUGAAACUUAAAGGAAUUGGCGGGGGAGCACCACAAGAGGUGGAGGCUGCGGUUCAAUUGGAUUCAAC